GAUGAACGCUGGCGGCGUGCUUAACACAUGCAAGUCGAACGGAAAGGCUCCUGCUUGCAGGGGUACUCGAGUGGCGAACGGGUGAGUAACACGUGGGUGAUCUGCCCUGCACUUCGGGAUAAGCCUGGGAAACUGGGUCUAAUACCGGAUAGGACCACAUUUGGGAUGGGGGGGUGGACAGUUUUUCGGUGUGGGAUGAGCUCGCGGCCUAUCAGCUUGUUGGUGGGGUAAUGGCCUACCAAGGCGUCGACGGGUAGCCGGCCUGAGAGGGUGUACGGCCCCAUUGGGCCUGAGAUACGGCCCAGACUCCUACGGGAGGCAGCAGUGGGGAAUAUUGCACAAUGGGCGCAAGCCUGAUGCAGCGACGCCGCGUGGGUGAUGACGGCCUUCGGGUUGUAAACUCCUUUCGCUAGGGACGAAGCGCAAGUGACGGUACCUGGAGAAGAAGCACCGGCUAACUACGUG
rnacentral:rRNA from 1 species